CGGGGAGCACCACAACAGGUGGAGCCUGUACGUUUAGUCGGACUCAACGCCGGGAAACUCACCAGAUAAGACAGCUGAAUGAUAGUCGGGCUGAAGACUCUACUUGACUAGCUGAGAGGAGGUGCAUGGCCGUCGUCAGUUCGUACUGUGAAGCAUCCUGUUAAGUCAGGCAACGAGCGAGACCCACGCCAACAGUUGCCAGCUCGUCCUCCGGGAUGGUGGGGACACUGUUGGGACCGCCUCUGCUAAAGAGGAGGAAGGAAUGGGCAACGGUAGGUCAGCAUGCCCCGAAUUAUCUGGGCUACACGCGGGCUACAAUGGGUGGGACAAUGGGUAUCGACACCGAAAGGUGAAGGCAAUCUCCUAAACCCAUCCGUAGCUCGGAUUGUGGGCUGCAACUCGCCCACAUGAAGCUGGAAUCUGUAGUAAUCGUGUCUCAAAAUGGCACGGUGAAUAUGUCCCUGCUCCUU
rnacentral:rRNA from 1 species